UGCCCAGCAACUCCUAUCCCUACCUCCUCGCGGUACUGGCAGGGGUACGAGCAACCUUAGGGAAGAUCGGGUAACCAACCCCGGUGGGAACUUUGGUCGUAUGCUGACAGGGAAGG
rnacentral:ribozyme from 1 species